UCAAGUUAUUAAGGGUGCAGGGCGGAUGCCUUGGCACUAGGAGCCGAUGAAGGACGUGAUAAGCUGCGAUAAGCUUCGGGGAGUUGCACGUAAACUUUGAUCCGAAGAUUUCCGAAUGAGGAAACUCACUUAGAGUAAUGUCUAAGUAUCAUUAAGUGAAUACAUAGCUUAAUGAGGGGAACUCAGGGAACUGAAACAUCUAAGUACCUGAAGGAAGAGAAAGAAAUUCGAUUCCGUAAGUAGCGGCGAGCGAACGCGGAUUAGCCCAAACUAAUAAAGUUUUCUUUAUUGGGGUUGCGGACAUAUCAUAACGAAGAGGUAUCGUAAUUGAAGAGGUUUGGAAAGACCCACCACAGAAGGUAAUAGUCCUGUAUGUUAAACGAGAAGACUUUAGAUAUGAUCCAGAGUACCACGGGACACGUGAAACCCUGUGGGAAGCAGGAGGGACCACCCUCCAAGGCUAAAUACUACCUAGUGACCGAUAGCGUAUAGUACCGUGAGGGAAAGGUGAAAAGAACCCCGGGAGGGGAGUGAAAUAGAACCUGAAACCCUGCACUUACAAGCUGUGGAAGCACAUUUCUUGUGUGACCGCGUACUUUUUGUAGAACGGGCCAACGAGUUACGUUAAGUAGCAAGGUUAAGCACUUAAGGUGCGGAGCCGUAGCGAAAGCGAGUUUUAACUGAGCGUUCAGUUACUUGACGUAGACCCGAAACCGGGCGACCUACCCAUGAGCAGGAUGAAGCGAAAGUAAAAUUUCGUGGAGGUCCGAACCCACGAGCGUUGAAAAGCUCGGGGAUGACUUGUGGGUAGCGGUGAAAUUCCAAUCGAGCCCGGAGAUAGCUGGUUCUCCCCGAAAUAGCUUUAGGGCUAGCCUCAAGGUGAGAGAUACGGAGGUAGAGCACUGAAUGUCCUAGGGGGUAUUGCACCUACCGAAGACUAUCAAACUCCGAAUGCCGUCAUCUUAUACUUGGGAGUCAGACUGUGGGUGAUAAGAUUCAUAGUCGAAAGGGCAACAGCCCAGAUCGUCAGCUAAGGUCCCUAAAUGUAAGUUAAGUGGUAAAGGAUGUGGGAUUGCACAGACAACCAGGAUGUUGGCUUAGAAGCAGCCACUCAUUCAAAGAGUGCGUAAUAGCUCACUGGUCGAGUGAUCCUGCGCCGAAGAUUUCCGGGGCUAAAACUUACUACCGAAGCUACGGCAUCAGUAAUGAUGGGUAGGGGAGCUUCCCAUACGGGUUGAAGCAUGACCGUAAGGACAUGUGGACAGUAUGGGAGUGAGAAUGUUGGCAUGAGUAGCGAGAUGUGGGUGAGAAUCCCACAGGCCGUAAACCCAAGGUUUCCAGGGGAAGGUUCGUCCGCCCUGGGUUAGUCGGGACCUAAGCUGAGGCCGAAAGGCGUAGGUGAUGGACAACAGGUUGAUAUUCCUGUACUACCGAUAACCGUUUGAGAGAAGGGAUGACACAGUAGGAUAAGCUAAGCACACUGUUGGUUAUGUGUGCCCAAGCAUUGAGGCAGUCAAAGUAGGCAAAUCCGCUUUGAUAAUGCUGGGAUGUGAUGGGGAGCGAAAUUUAGUAGCGAAGUAGCUGAUUUCACACUGUCAAGAAAAGUCUCUAUCGAGGUUAAAGGUACCCGUACCGCAAACCGACACAGGUGGGUGAGGAGAGUAUCCUAAGGCCAGCGAGAGAACUGUUGUUAAGGAACUCGGCAAAAUGACCCCGUAACUUAGGGAUAAGGGGUGCCACCAUCAGGUGGCCGCAGAGAAUAGGCCCAAGCGACUGUUUACCAAAAACAUAGGUUUCUGCUAAGUCGCAAGACGAUGUAUAGGAGCUGACGCCUGCCCGGUGCUGGAAGGUUAAGGGGAUCUGUUAGAGCAAUCGAAGCAGUGAACUUAAGCCCCAGUAAACGGCGGCCGUAACUAUAACGGUCCUAAGGUAGCGAAAUUCCUUGUCGGGUAAGUUCCGACCCGCACGAAAGGCGUAACGAUUUGGGCACUGUCUCAACAACAGACUCGGUGAAAUUGUAAUUCCGGUGAAGAUGCCGGAUACCUGCGACAGGACGGAAAGACCCCAUGGAGCUUUACUGUAGCUUGACAUUGGGUCUUGGUACUACAUGUACAGGAUAGGUGGGAGGCUUUGAAACCAGGACGCCAGUUUUGGCGGAGCCAUCCUUGGGAUACCACCCUUGUAGUACUGGGACUCUAACCAUAGGCCAUGAAUCUGGUCUUGGGACACUGUCAGGUGGGCAGUUUGACUGGGGCGGUCGCCUCCCAAAAGGUAACGGAGGCGCUCAAAGGUUCUCUCAGUACGGUCGGAAAUCGUACGUAGAGUGUAAAGGCAAAAGAGAGCUUGAUUGCAAGACAUACAGGUCGAGCAAGGAUGAAAAUCGGACUUAGUGAUCCGGUGGUUCUGCGUGGAAGGGCCAUCGCUCAACGGAUAAAAGCUACCCUGGGGAUAACAGGCUUAUCUCCCCCAAGAGUCCACAUCGACGGGGAGGUUUGGCACCUCGAUGUCGGCUCAUCACAUCCUGGGGCUGUAGUAGGUCCCAAGGGUUGGGCUGUUCGCCCAUUAAAGUGGUACGCGAGCUGGGUUCAGAACGUCGUGAGACAGUUCGGUCCCUAUCCGUCGCAGGCGUAGGAAAUUUGAGAAGACCUGUCCUUAGUACGAGAGGACCGGGAUGGACGUACCUCUGGUGUACCAGUUGU
rnacentral:rRNA from 1 species